rnacentral:misc_RNA from 1 species
GCCACCUACGGCGUUUCCCACGUUGCCCACGCUGCCCCAGCCGUUGCUACCUACGGCGUUGCUCACGCUGUCCCAGCCUACUACGGCUACGGUGUUGGCUCCCUCGGCUACGGUGCCGGCAGCUACGGUUACGGCCACGGUCUCCUCGGCUACGGCCUGAACUACGGCUACGGCCUUGGCUCUCCUCUCAGCUACUCCACCCUCCUCCGCAAGAAGAAGUAAAUUUUCUUUAUCUUGAAACUCGGACUGGACACAAACCACACAGCCAUGGACGUUCAGAUUUUCUGGUUUCAAUGAUGUAUAAUCAUUGUUAUGGCCGAAUAAACUGUUUGUCUGA